AGUGAACGCUGGCGGUAGGCCUAACACAUGCAAGUCGAACGGCAGCACAGUAAAAGCUUGCUCUUACGGGUGGCGAGUGGCGGACGGGUGCGGAAUACAUCGGAAUGUACUUUUUCGUUGGGGGUAACGUAGGGAAACUCACGCUAAUACCGCAUACGACCUACGGGUGAAAGCAGGGGAUCUUCGGACCUUGCGCGAUUGAAUGAGCCGAUGUCGGAUUAGCUAGUUGGCGGGGUAAAGGCCCACCAAGGCGACGAUCCGUAGCUGGUCUGAGAGGAUGAUCAGCCACACUGGAACUGAGACACGGUCCAGACUCCUACGGGAGGCAGCAGUGGGGAAUAUUGGACAAUGGGCGCAAGCCUGAUCCAGCCAUGCCGCGUGGGUGAAGAAGGCCUUCGGGUUGUAAAGCCCUUUUGUUGGGAAAGAAAAGCAGCAGGUUAAUACCCCGCUGUUCUGACGGUACCCAAAGAAUAAGCACCGGCUAACUUCGUG
rnacentral:rRNA from 1 species